AUUAUUUUUUUUGUUUUUGUCAAUUCUGAGAUAUUUCUCAGAUGUUUGUACGUGACAUCUAUGGUUUCCUCUUUUUUAUUUUCCUCUGUUAAAAGUCUGUUUGAUUCACUUGUCAUAGAAUGGUCUGGGUUGCAAAGGACCACAAUGCUCAUCUAGUUCCAACCCCCCUGCUCUGCAUAGGGUCACCAACCACCAGACCACACUGCCCAGAGCCACAUCCAGCCUGGCCUUGAAUGCCUCCAGGGAUGGGGCAUCCAUGUUACAUCUCCACAUUACAUUUAAAUCAGGAUGCAUAACAUAAGUCUAGCUUGGCUAAGCAGCCAAAGCAAACACUCACUGCCCUUUCCCUCAGUCACCCCAAUGGGCAUUGGUACCUCAGUCAGCACUGAGAUAAUGGAGGUUCCCAUUCAAUAAUAGUCAUACAGAGCUGCUAAAGCUUAGAGGGACAGAGGGCUCUGCACUCAGUAAGGGCAAGUAGCUGAAAAAUCCCUGAGUCAUUUUUGUAAAGCCUUUUUUGACACGAGGGCUCUCUUUUAAGUAAUUUCACUUGUUAGGCCAUGCAUGAACGUACUGGGACAGAGUUGAACUUCAUGUUACCGAUCAGCUAGAAACAUUAUGUAUUUUCCUUGUGGUAAAACUGAGAGCAAUAAGUCAUCUUCCACAAAUCUGUCUGCUGGUUAAUAUGCAAAAACCCAGAGAGAAGGAAUAUCCUGUGACACCAGAUCCCAGUUUGUUCUUGCUUACGGUCAGAAUGUUGGUUUAUCUCACUUGAAGCACUCUAUUUUUCAUUAGGCAGCCUAGUACUAUUCCUUUGAAGGUCUGUGAUGUAUUUUAAUGUGACCAGAAUUAGAUUUAUUUUAUUACAGGCAGAGAUUUAGUCCACUGUUCUGAGGGUGCCUUUGAGUUGAAUGGGAUAAAAAAAAAAUAGGCUUCAUGGGAGGGAAUAAAGGGCAGAGAGAGGCUCAGCUCCAUGUUUACUUAUAAGAUUUUGCUUCUGAGGAAUGAGCCUCUGAGCUGUAACUGGAGCAAGCAGAGGGAACCACUCUGUGCCUGGAGCCUGUUUCACAGCAAGAGUGUUUUCUACCUUCCCCUCUUGUCAGUGGUUGUUUUUUGUUUUAUUUCAGUUCAUGUAUUAACUAACUGCUGACUCUGCAGUAAAAAUGAAGAUAAAAAUGUUUGAGUCAUCUGGAAACCUUGGGAAGCAGGCUGCAACGUGAUGCAGAAGGGGUGUUUGAUUCAGGCCUGUACCUAUAGGAAACAAAUCUUGAAGUUUGCAAAUCUUGAAGUUUGUCUCCAAAGGUGUAAUUUGUGCCCAGGUGUCACAGCUAAGUUCCUCCUAGUGUAGAAAUUGUUUCUUUGAAUCUGAAAAUGUGAAAAUUGAGUAGAACCAGAAUGCAAACUGUCAUUGACACUGGUCAUCCCCAGGCUUUGAUGAGACUCACAGAGAUGCAACUGAAGUUGAGGCAGAGCAAUGCAGAGCUUGGAGACACAGGUUCCUUCCAACCCAGGCUGCUUUCUGAUUCUAUAAACAAGAAGAAACAGGCAUUUCUUUGAGUUUGUACGUAAGGAGAAGCUUACAUGUGUUUUGUUUAUACAAGAAGCAGCAGGUUAAUCACCUGCAGUUACCUGCUUGAACUAAUGAGUAAAAUAACCUAAUAACUCCUGGAAACUCUGUUUGCUAAAGACUUGACUUCAGUGUCACAGGUAAGUAAAUUAACUCCACUUUUGUCCUGAAUUAUCUAGGUGUUGCAGUGCAACAGCAGCAGAACUGCAAGUGAAACCAAUAAUAAUUGCAAAGUCUCGCAUACAGUAUACAGUGUUUUUAUACAAGCAUCUAAUGCAAAGGCAGAAUCUGAAGUUAGUUCCAUUUCUUCCAAUUAAAAGAAAAAUGCCAAAUAUGAUGCAUGUCAUUCAGGUCAGAGUUCAGUCUCCCUUUGGCAGAGAGGUUCACAGGACCUAACUUACCCUAACUUGACCCAAAGGGUACCGGAGAGAUGCACUAGUCUCUGGUUUCUCCAUUGGUUUGCUGAGAGUGGUUUGACUUACCUAUCUGAAAAAAGGAAACCAUCUUUUUGCAAGAGUCAACGCCGCUCAGCUCUCAGGACAGCACACCUACCUUCACACUCGAGAAGCCCUACCAAACUCAAGCAACGCUUCUCUCCAGGAAUUCCGCUGCAACAAUGCAAACACUGGAAAAGUACUGGUUUCAUUUGGUGAGUCAAGCAAGUCUGACACACCAUAGUGCUGAAGUAGACAACCUGUGAAGAUACUCAUUAUUAACUUAAGUCUCACUUUUUUCCUUACAGAACUUGCAGUGCUAAAUGGCCAACUGCAGAAGCGGUCCUCAUCCUCUACUUUCUUCUCCCAAGAUAAAGUCAGUUCAGCAGCAAGGGAAGAAGUCCCAAGCACAGAAAUAACUGUAGGCGCUACAUUUCUUCCCUGAGUUGCACAACCCCAUGCCUGCUCUCCACAGUUUAUGGGGUCCCGCUGAAUGUCACUGCUCCUCCCAGCUUCGCAUCAUCCGCUCACUCACCGACAUUAGAGACUCUCCCUUCAUCCAGGUCACUAAUGAGAAACAAACACCCAUUGAUGCAGUACCCACCCCCAGGGAACACCCCUAAGUACAGCUUCCAACUAUACCACUCUAAGUCUGCCUUGCUGUGUGCUCACCCAUCUCACACUUGUUAAGUUCAUUACAAAAACGCCAACAGAAACACCGAAGUCAGGUUUGCAGCAUCCCCUGCUCUUCUGACCUGACGCUCCCAGGUUGGAGCAGCACAAUUUCCCCUCAGUGAUGCCACCUUGACUGCUUCCUAGCAAACUCUUCAAGUUCCUUGGAAAUGACACCUAGAACAAGUCAUUCCACCACCUCUCCAGGGUGAAAGAGGAGACAGACUGGCCUAGGGUUAUGCAGGCCCUCCUUCUUACCCUUUUUGAAGGCUGCCGUGAUGCUGGCUAUCCUCCCGUCCUCACACAACUUUCCUAUAGAAAACAUCAUAAAGAAUGUGACACAGAGCCAGCUGGUGCUCACUUCUGCCAGCUCCUUCGCCACACACAGGCACGUCCCACUAGGACCUGGGGGGCACCAAUUUUGUCCACGUGAUCUUUGCCGCCUCCUCUGCAAUCAGGAAGGCAUCCUUCCUCAAAGACGCUUUCCUCUGGGAUCCAGGAUCGUCAAGGAGCAUCCUCAGCAGUCACAGCUGCAACAAAGAAGGCAUUCCAGCCCCUGCCUGAUGAGGCAGAGGACCCACCCUACUCUCCUCCUUGCUGUUCACAAACUUGCUAACUUCUGUUAUCCUUGAUCUUCCCCCCCCCAAAGAAGAAACUAAGUAGGCUUUAGCCUUCCUCAUCCUAAUCUCUUCCUUCUCGCUUUCAAGUUCUUCUGCAAGCCCCAUUUUCCCAUGAAGCUCCCCUGCUAUUUUGCUCCUUUUCUUACUCUCCUAAGAGCGCCCCUCCUGAGCGCAAAUAAAUUGCUUGAAAUAACAACCGCCCACAGGACCUCUUCUGACGUUCCAACUGCACGGAUACCUCCAAGUAGAUCCUUUCAGAGGACAAACCAGGCUUCCUGAAAAUCCAAUAUCUCAACCCUACUUACUGCUUUGCUUCUUCCACACCAGAUCCUGAACUGCACCAUCUCAGAGCAGCCACCCCCAGCUGAGCCUCCCUCUGUAGGGAGAGCAAGCUCCUCCGUCGCUUGUGUCCUAAGUUUUACCUUUGACACAUUGCAAGAACCUCCUGGAAUAACCAAGCCUGGCAGCCUUGCUUCCCCAACAGCUGAUAGGGUGGUUCAGCCUACCCUGAGAACAACUAAUGCCCACAGCUGUGCGCAGAAGGUCUUAUCCUCUUCCUCACCCUGGUCUGUAACCAACACCCCCAAGGAUGUUACUCACCUUUACCUACCUCACAAGCACUCCUCUAGUUGUUCAUUCAUCCCUAGGCAGGGCUCAAUCCUUUCCAGCUCUCUCACCUGAAAAGCAACUCCAUCACCCUGCUGGAUUGUCCUUCUGGAAAAAAAACAUGCAAUCCGUAACAAACAGCAUUCCAGGCAUACAAGUUCACCCACCACGAUGGGAAUGAGGUCAUGCACAUAAGGAAGGUGGAAACACCCAGUCCCAUCCUGCUGCUCGCUCCCGCUGCUGGAGGCAGGAGCUGAAGGACCUACAAACCCUUUUGGGGGGCUGAGGCCACCCAGAGGUCUCCCUUGGCCUCCAAGAGCAGCACCGUGCUGAUCCCAAAGAAACAGAGAUAGCUCAGCAGCAACCCUACCCAAGUCCCAAGGGGAGAGAGCUCGCCUACUGACUCCUAAACUCUCAACACUUCCACAACCUCGCUGGUUUGGGAUGAAGAGAGGCUCUGCUGCAGCUCCAGUAGGAGAACACCUGGUUUUAGCAGCCCUUCGCGUUGCUCCUCUCUCCCAGCAGUGCCGAGGCCGCAGAAGCACAGCCCCGUCUCACUCACUCCCGCUGAUGAGAGCAGAACAAACUGAAGCACUCACUAUAAAAAAAAAGGAGGGUUGUGGAGGGAAAAAAGCAAACCAAAUACAACAGAAAGCAGGCAGCGCUGCAACCCCGGCUCUGAAAAGUCGAGGGAGCCCAGCGGUAGCUCUACGCCAGCCCCAAAAAGAGCACGGUGAGGGCCCGGCAGCCUCCUACCCCAGGCGGAAAGCCCCCCAAGGACCGCCGAGCGCUCACCACCUCCAUCGCUAUCGGUACGGCUCGCCGGCCGGGGCGGAUCCCGACGCCUUCCUGCAGCCUGAAUAAAAGAACCAAACGCAACAGACAACGUUAAACAGAACCCCGAGGUUUCGAGUUCCAAGCAGCCCCUCGCAGCCCCAGCAGCGCCUCGGGCAGAGGAACAGCAUCCCACAACCUCCUCCAUCGCCUCCCGGCGAGGGACUGCGCAGAGCGCCCUCGUGGCUCCCGGCAGCCCCCGGAGGAGCUUAAGAGGCUUUGGGGCGGGCGUUGCGCUCGGCUCCGGACGAGGCGCAGCUGUGCCCGGCACCUGGGGGUCGUUGUGUCAUUAGCACAGAUGGGCCUCGUUAGGGCGGGCCGGGGGCUUUGACAGGUAGACGCGUGGACUCUAGAUCUGAAUUACGGACUUAAAUGACACUUUAAGCACUCGCUGUGCG
ensembl:lncRNA